ensembl:snoRNA
CCACUCUCUUCAUGACCAGUACUGGUCUUUGAUCACCCCAGGACCUUUGACACCUAGGGGUCUGAGGGGCCC